UCGCUGAACGCUUAGAGUCGACAUUGGCCUGAGCGCGCUGUGGUCCGCAGAUCAAACAAGUUCUCAGUCGACGCCUUACCCAAUCAAAAACAACAACGGUGUGUCACGUGUUACAUUUCACCCAAUACGAAGCAACCGCUCCUAAAAUUCGCCCCUCCUUCCAUCGGUUAGUGCAGACACCUCUCGUACUCCGAUUUAGCCUCUUUCUCAUUGAAAACUUUGCAGAUCUGGUCCGAAAAUACACCUGCAAGGUAUGUUUUCGCUCCUAUAAGCAUUCGUCGUCGCUGUACAACCACAAGAGGUUCGAAUGCGAGAAGAAGCCCAAAUUCAAAUGCGAAUACACAGGCUGUACUUUCAUAACCAAAGUGAAGGGAAACCUCACGGCCCACCACAAACGCCACGAAUAUAGACGAGAUUUCAAAUAAAACUUUUCCACGUCCGAGUUUUUUCUUUCCCUUUUUUUCCUCCCUUCUAAGCACUUAAUCUAACUCCGUCUUUUACAGGUAGGCGCCUGUACACGUGCCAACGAUGUUCGCGUUCCUACAGGCACUCCCAGUCUUUACACAGACACAAGAAAUUCGAGUGUGGAAAAGAGCCGCUGUUUCGGUGCCACGUGCCGAAUUGCCUCUUUGUGUCAAAAAUUAAAAGUAACCUAAAACAGCACCUUGUGCGACACACCAGCAAAGAGUGGCAGAAGGCCAACGUAGAAAAGAUUUAAUGUACAAGUUAGAAAUAAACUGUUGCUUAGAGUUGGUUUUUCUUUGAGGAUGACAUUUUGACUGUGCCAUUUUUAGGUAACCGACACACUUGCAAGAUGUGUGAAAGGUCGUACAAAAACAGCUGCAGUUUGGUGCGCCAUGUGACCUACGAGUGCCAAAAGCCGCCACGGUUCCAGUGCCACAAAUGUGGACACAAAACCCAUUACAGGUCGAACCUUGUCAGCCAUAUGGCGAAUAAACACUAGUUCAAACACUUUUUUUCUUCUUUGUUUGUUAGAUUGUGUGCGUUCGGGGCAAGUCUUGCUCGCUCCGCGAGCUUAAUUUCCAAUACAGCGUUACUAGAAAGAACUGAAUUGACUCUUGCCUUUUCAGGUGCACGGUACGUUUGCCAGCGGUGCAAGCGGUCGUACAAAAACGAGUGUAGUUUAGUGCGUCACUUAACCUACGAGUGCGAAAAGACCCCGAAGCUGGAGUGUCAUCAAUGCGGCCACCGAACCCGUUACAAAUCGAGUCUCAUCUCGCACAUGGCCAAUAAGCACUAGUUGUCAUUGUCUUGUCCGCUGUCAUUGCGCCACGUACUAACGGCCCCGUUUUUCAGGUGCUUUCAAGUGUGCCACCUGUGGCCGAGGCUACAAGGUGGCGAGAUCUCUGUGGCGCCACCAGAAAUACGAAUGCCAAAAAGAGCCGUCUUUUUCGUGCGUCAAAUGCGCCUACAAGGCUAAGCACAAGUCGAGCGUUUUGAAACAUAUGAUUAGUGUACACCCUGGUAUUGCCGAUGUGACUAAAUAUAAGCAUUUUUAAAUGUGCGGUACCCGUGCCCUAAGUGUUGCAAAUCGUACACGUUAAAGAGGAAUUUAAGCCGGCAUAUGAAGGUGGAGUGUGGGAAGGAGAAAAAUUUGAGGUGUUGCUACUGCGAGAGCGCGUAUUACUAUAAGCAGGAUCUGCAGAAGCACAUGACGAAGGUGCACAGCUAUAAGUUCGAGCAGGAGGGGUGCUGAGGGCACCCAGAAACGUUCAAUUUGACCCUUAUGCGACGAUUUUGUGGUUAUAUAGUGGGGCUGCUGGUCACUUUUUGGAGGGAAAAUUUGAAUUCAUGGAGUCUGCGCAAGACGAACUGAACCAGAGGCCCCACUAUAUAACUACUAGCAACCAAAGUAAUAACCCUGGGAAGUUCGCUCACGCGACAAGACUGUGUCGUGCAGAAAAGUGGUUAUUGCUUACGUGAGGGAUUUUUGUUCGUAGUAUAAGGUGCAGUUAAUAAAAUUGUGAGCGAUG